rnacentral:ncRNA from 1 species
GCUCUGAAAUCUAACACAGGUUUCCUUCUGAUGAGAGUCAGUCGACAAAAUUGGGUAAAUUGCAAGAACCUCUUAUUAUAAUUAUAAAGAUUAACUGUCCUUGCGCAUAGUCGCCUGAUGUAUAGUUAAAUAUAUUAAGAAAACUUGCAGCGAAGCCUACUUCGGUACUAAUCAUUUAUAGAAGUAGGAACGUUCAACGACUAACGGGUGAGUAGUACAACAAUAAUCCUGACACGAGUGCCCAACAACUAUUUUAAAUAUUAGUUGAAGACAUAGUCUAGUCAAUAAAGUAAUUUAUUG